GCGAGUCAUGUUUUUGUAAAGUGUAUAAUUUCAAGUACCCUGGUUCAUGAUUUUCUCCGCCAGUCUCAUUAGUGAGCUCAAACCCUAUAUAUACGCACCAUGUUCAUCGAUUUCCAUGUACAAAAACCAGAUCGAGGAAAUAGCUGUUGUAGAGUAGCCACUAUAAAAGGAGAGAGAGAAAGAUUGUAGAUUACUAGAUUCACUCGCUCACCAGAGUUUAAUAGAGAAUAGUGCACAACAGUGGAGUGAAGUGACUGCCACAUAGAGAGACUUAAAAGAAGUUCCUUCAGAGAGAGAAAGAAGGAGAAACGUGAUGGGAGAUGAAAAUCUACCUUCUUCCUGGUUCUGGUUUUUCUGUCUCUGGUUAGUGUUGUGUGUGGAGAAAAAUCCUCUCGGCAAGAGAAUUUUUCCAUUCCCUGGAAAAGGAAAAGAUGAUAUUUGCUUACCCUUUGUUUCGUUUUUUGUUUUUGGAAACAGUGCUUUUACUGUUUUGCCAGAUUUGUGUGGAUGUGAGAUCUUCAAUCGUUUUCCCUUCUCUGACUCUCACGAAGACAUUGACUACUCUUCCUAUUCUCUUUCUCUCUCUCUCUCUCAUUCUGCUACUUCUUUAACACAGUUUCUCUUCCGUGAUUUCUGCUUCUUCUGACCCUUUGAUUUUUUUUCUUCUUUUUUUCAAUUUUCUAGCUGUUUAUUUUUCCUGUUCAGUUAUAGUUAUAUGGAACUCAUUCUGUGUUCUAACUCAUAUCUCCUCCUCUCACCCUUUUCUUUGUCGAUUUGGUUCCUUUUUCUCCUUUAGCUGCUGUGGCUAUGACACUGUUCUUUGGUCGAAGCUUUUGUUUUGGUCCUCUUUGCGGGAAGAACCGGAGAAGUAUUAGUUAAAGAUGCACCUAGUUUGCUUGUGUUUUAUGUUGUUGCAUAACGAAGUUGACCCUUUGAUUUUUAAGCUUACGAAUAUCACAUUACAUGCCCCUGUGUGUUUUGAUCAUACAAAUUACUACAUCAGAUUUUUUUUUUCUGCUGUGUUCGAUCGUGAUCUUUAUAUGCAGUUGCUGUAUCUAUUGUUCAUCUGUUCUUGCAUGAUAUUCAGAGGGUUAGAAAAAGGACACUAUUCUAGUAUCAUGAAGGAAAAAUCUUUUUUGUUUUGAGACUUUUAGGUCCUAGGGUUAGGGUUCUUGUAAAAGAAAUGUGUUUUUCAUAUCUUAGAAGAAGCCGAUUUCUCCGAUGUUGUCGUAUGAUGUCGAUUAACUCUACAUUCCUCGGCAGUCUGCAUGCUAGUUAAAGGUGAUUAAAAAGUUGUAAUCUAAUCAUUGUUAAGUGUUUGAGUGCUUGACAGAAAAUGAUUCCUUCUUCCUGAAAAAGUAUACCAGGUUUAGACAUACCCAUGAAUACUAAUUAAAGGUUCUCAUAGUAUUCAGAUUUUUGUCACUGUAUCUGCAUAAAUAUGAAUUACAGUUUCUUCAAUCCUUGCAUCAUUGUUAGUGAUUUCCUUCUAAGCCUAGUAAUGAGAGCAUUCUAGUUCUGUCUCUAUAGUUUCAUCUUUGUUUGUUGAAUUUCAUCUGGAGUCAUACGACAUAUGUUGAUUUAUUAUUUUUAUUGAACCUUUUUUUGAUUAAAUUAAUUGCUUGUGGAUUUCAUGUGUUACGUGAAGAUUCCGACUCAUUAUAUAGUGUUUGAAAUUGUAAAUUUAUGUGUGUAUUUUUGCAGCCACCAAUAGAUGUUGUAUUGUUUAUUGUCUUUUUGUUUGAUCUUAGAUCUGAUGGAAUAUUAUUGUUGUAGCAUUCUUGGUAGAGAAUUUUGUUAUAUGUAGUGUGAGGAAUAGUUUAAGAGAGCUUCCUUCAGUCCACUCAUGGAUGGGUAGAGGAUUUGAAUUUUCUGCUGACUCAUUCAUUCAAACACAAUAGAAUUGGGUUCAUUAUGCUAUUGUGAAUGUGUGAAUGAUGCAGGAGGUAAAAUUCAUCUUUUUCUUGUCUUUGCUUGGACUGAAGGGAGCUCCCUUUUAGUAUUUAUGUCAUUAUAUUUCAUUAAUUAUGGUUAUUAAUUACUUUUUCUUCAUCUUAUUGCACUGUAAAUAUAAUUAUAUAUAUAAUUGUUAGUCAAGCUUUGUUCACCAUUUUACUGAUUUCUUCACUUUUCCCACAUACUUAUGGGCAUGAAAGAUAUUUCUAAUUUCAUUUGAAUGUCAUACAAUGAAAUCUGAAACUAAUGGUUUAUUAUAAUAAUCAUGAUUUGUUAUGUAGUUGAAAAUUAUUCUUGAAGAUCUUGUUUUACUGCUUUAUUUCUAUUGAUUUAGCUAUCUCAGUUGUAGUUGUAAAUUGUCGUUUUGAAGAGUUUAUUUUGCUAUUCUACUUGUUCCCCUUGAUUUAGUUCAUGUAUUGCAAGAACUCCUUAAUUAGGAAGAUUGAUUUUUUCGUAUUUUAAAUGGG